rnacentral:rRNA from 1 species
ACGCUGCCGGCGUGCCUAAUACAUGCAAGUCGAACGCUGGAGAUCUAGCUUGCUAGAUCGAAGGAGUGGCGAACGGGUGAGUAAUACAUAAGCAACCUACCCACGAAGACUGGGAUAAUCUCUGGAAACGGGGACUAAUACCGGAUAGGUAAUCGGAAGGCAUCUUCUGAUUAUUAAAGGUUAAAAACACUGGUGGAUGGGCUUAUGGCGCAUUAGUUAGUUGGUGAGGUAACGGCCCACCAAGACGAUGAUGCGUAGCCGGCCUGAGAGGGUGAACGGCCACAUUGGGACUGAGACACGGCCCAGACUCCUACGGGAGGCAGCAGUAGGGAAUUUUCGGCAAUGGGGGAAACCCUGACCGAGCAACGCCGCGUGAGUGAUGACGGCCUUCGGGUUGUAAAGCUCUGUUGUAAGGGAAGAACGGUAGAUAGAGAAUAUCUAAGUGACGGUACCUUACCAGAAAGCCACGGCUAACUACGUGCCAGCAGCCGCGGUAAUACGUAGGUGGCGAGCGUUAUCCGGAAUUAUUGGGCGUAAAGGGUGCGUAGGCGGCCUGUUAAGUAAGUGGUUAAAUUGUUGGGCUCAACCCAAUCCAGCCACUUAAACUGGCAGGCUAGAGUAUUGGAGAGGCAAGUGGAAUUCCAUGUGUAGCGGUAAAAUGCGUAGAUAUAUGGAGGAACACCAGUGGCGAAGGCGGCUUGCUAGCCAAAGACUGACGCUCAUGCACGAAAGCGUGGGGAGCAAAUAGGAUUAGAUACCCUAGUAGUCCACGCCGUAAACGAUGAAUACUAAGUAUUGGGGAAACUCAGUGCUGCAGCUAACGCAAUAAGUAUUCCGCCUGUGGAGUAUGCACGCAAGUGUGAAACAUAAAGGAAUUGACGGGGGCCCGCACAAGCGGUGGAGUAUG